rnacentral:rRNA from 1 species
GAUGAACGCUGGCGGCGUGCCUAAUACAUGCAAGUCGAGCGAUUCGGGCACGGGUGAGUAACACGUGGAAAACCCUCUAUAAGACUGGGAUAACUUCGUGAAAAACGAGCUCAACCGCAUACUUAUAGAUGGAUCUGCGCUGCAUUAGCUAGUUGGUAAGGUAACGGCUUACCAAGGCAACGAUGCAUAGCCGACCGGAGAGGGUGAUCGGCCACACUGGAACUGAGACACGGCCCAGACUCCUACGGGAGGCAGCAGUAGGGAAUCUUCCGCAAUGGGCGAAAGCCUGACGGAGCAACGCCGCGUGAGUGAAGAAGGUUUUCGGAUCGUAAAACUCUGUUAUUAGAGAAGCGGUACCUAAUCAGAAAGCCACGGCUAACUACGUGCCAGCAGCCGCGGUAAUUC